rnacentral:lncRNA from 1 species
ACUAAAACACACGAUUUAGGGGUUUCUUCUUCCUUCUUCGAUUUUUUUCCUCUCCCUCUCUCUGAUUUCAGAGCGGCCGAACCCGAAGAACCUUUCCUUUCCUCUGCGUGAAACCAUUGUUGCAGCCAUCCUUGUUCUUCUUCAGCCGUCGCGCCGUCGUCCUCGUCACGCAAGCAGGUUCAAUUCUUCUGGCUUUCUUUUUUCUUUGUUUUUUCGUUUUGUUUCUUUUCCCCCUUCGAUUCUCUGUCUGACCAUCUCUAUGUCCUCCAUCAGCAGUUCGUGCAGAUCAUCAUCCAUAUUUCUGGAGUAGGUUGCAGCUUCGCACUCCUUUUUUUUCUCCCAUUGACGCAGCCGUCCGUGCACUCCUCCUCGUCAGUUUUCCAUUGAAGACUCUCUCUGUGCCAAAGGUGAAUUUCUCACUCUUCUGUAAAUGUUGUGGUCGGAGUGAAGCUGGACUCCAAGAGCAGAGAGCUGCUUACUUGGGCUCUGGUCAAAGUGGCUGGUGUUUUUUUUAAAAAAAAACUAACUGGUUUUGAUGAAUUGGGUAUGUGUAGAAAUUGUGGAUCAAGAUGGGAAGUCGUCACUUCUUUCCCCUGUGAAAGCGUUCGACUCUGUUGUUCUUGCCAUCUAUGAAGGUUUCUGCAACUUGAAACAGGUUCAUUUCUCGCAAAUUUUUGUUCUUUUAUUCGUUGGGAUUUUGUUGUCCUUUUGUAUAUUUAGUUAUAUCCUCUGGUUGUUUGCUUAG